AUUGAACGCUGGCGGCAUGCCUUACACAUGCAAGUCGAACGGCAGCACGGGAGCAAUCCUGGUGGCGAGUGGCGAACGGGUGAGUAAUAUAUCGGAACGUGCCCGGUCGUGGGGGAUAACGUAGCGAAAGCUACGCUAAUACCGCAUACGAUCUACGGAUGAAAGCGGGGGAUCGCAAGACCUCGCGCGAUUGGAGCGGCCGAUAUCAGAUUAGGUAGUUGGUGAGGUAAAGGCUCACCAAGCCGACGAUCUGUAGCUGGUCUGAGAGGACGACCAGCCACACUGGGACUGAGACACGGCCCAGACUCCUACGGGAGGCAGCAGUGGGGAAUUUUGGACAAUGGGCGCAAGCCUGAUCCAGCAAUGACCGCGUGCAGGAUGAAGGCCUUCGGGUUCGGUUAAACGUUA
rnacentral:rRNA from 1 species